GUUCCCGUGGCGCAAUUGGCAGACGCGGCAGAUUUAGGUUCUGUUAUUUGUGGAUUCGACUUCCACCGGGAACA
rnacentral:tRNA from 1 species